rnacentral:rRNA from 1 species
AAAAUCUAUAUGAAAAAAUUAUAUAUAUAAAUAAAUUUUUAUGAUUUAUUGGAUUUAAUUUAAAUUAAUUUUACAUGUAAAUUUUAGUGUUAAUUUUUAAUUAUUUUAAUAAUAAUUAUUAAAAUUUGCAGUAAUUAAAAUUAAAAAUUUAAGAAAUUAAGAUUUAGUGAUAUUUAAUUUAUUAACAAAUUUUGUGCCAGCAGUUGCGGUUAUACAAAAAAUAAUUUAAAUUUUAUCAGUAAAUAAUAAAUAAAAAUCAUUAUUUAAAUUAAAUAUUAAAUUAUUAAGUGAAAUUUUAAUUUAAUUAAAAUUUAUAUUAAUUUUAUGAUUUAUAAAAUUUUAUAAAAAACUAGGAUUAGAUACCCUAUUAUUAAAAAUUAAAUUUAUAAUACUAAAAUAGUAGGUAAUAAUUUAUUGAAACUUAAAUAAUUUGGCGGUAUUUUAGUUCAUUUAGAGGAAUCUGUUUAAUAAUUGAUAAUCCACGAAUAAAUUUACUUAAUUUAUUAUUUUGUAUAUCGUUGUUAAAUAAAUAUUUUUAAAUAAAAAUAAUAUUUUAAAAUUUUUAUAUAAAAUUAGUUCAGAUCAAGAUGCAGAUUAUAAUUAAGAAUAUAAUGGAUUACAAUAAAUAAAUUUAAAUGAAUAAUAUUUUUUAAUAAAUAUUUGAAGGUGGAUUUAAAUGUAAUUUUAAUUAAUUUAUUAAAAUGAUUAUAAAUUAAAAUAUGUACAUAUUGCCCGUCACUUUCAUUAAUAAGUUGGAAUAAGUCGUAACAAAGUAGAGGUACUGGAAAGUGUUUCUAGAAAGAA